CCUACGGGAGUCAGCAGUGAGGAAUAUUGGUCAAUGGACGAAAGUCUGAACCAGCCAAGUAGCGUGAAGGAUGACUGCCCUAUGGUUUGUAAACUUCUUUUAUAGGGGAAUAAAGUUUUCCACGUGUGGAUUUUUGUAUGUACCCUAUGAAUAAGCAUCGGCUAACUCCGUGCCAGCAGCCGCGGUAAUACGGAGGAUGCGAGCGUUAUCCGGAUUUAUUGGGUUUAAAGGGUGCGUAGGUUGUUUGUUAAGUCAGCGGUGAAAGUUUGUGGCUCAACCAUAAAAUUGCCGUUGAAACUGGAAGACUUGAGUGUAUUAGAGGUAGGCGGAAUGCGUGGUGUAGCGGUGAAAUGCAUAGAUAUCACGAAGAACUCCGAUUGCGAAGGCAGUUUACUGAGCCAUAACUGACACUGAGGCACGAAAGCGUGGGGAUCAAACAGGAUUAGAUACCCCGGUAGUC
rnacentral:rRNA from 1 species